AUUUUUUGGGCCCAAAAAGUUAGAACUGACUGGUUACAGCUUGGAGAUAAGAACACUAAAUAUUUCCAAACAGUGGCCAAAUAAGAAGAAGAAGAAAUGAAAUUAAUAAAAUAAAAGAUAACCAAGGAAAUUGGUGGUGGGAGGGUGAUGGUUUGGAGAGAGUAUUUGUGGAUGAUUUUAAAAAUAGGUUAUCUGCUUCUAACAUGCCUUCCCCAGGAGUUUUUGAUAAAUUCAUUGAUAUUAUUGAUCCUUGUAUAAGUGCUGAGCAAAAUGGCAGGUUAAAUAGCCUUAUCAUUGAAAGUGAGGUGGUUGAUGCUGUUAAAAGCAUUGGUGCUUUGAAAGCACCAGGACCGGAUGAAAUUCAUGCUUCUUUUUAUCAAAACUGCUGGGAUCUUGUUUGUCCCUUGGUAGUUAAUUUAGUUAGGGACUUUUUCAACAAUGGUUCCAGUCUUAGACUGAUUAAUCAUACUAAAAUUGCUCUUAUCCCUAAAGUGGAGAACCCUGAGGUGGUUUCUAGCUUUAGACCGAUUAGCCUAUGUAGUGUCACAUUCAAAAUUAUUACUAAAAUAUUGGUGAGUAGAAUUAAGCCUUUAUUAAAUAGGUGCAUUUCCAAGAACCAGGGAGCUUUUGCUCAGGAAGAUCCAUUUAGGGCUCAUGAAGUGUUUUCCUCUUUUAAAGGUAAAAAUGGUGCAAUGGCUAUUAAACUAGGCCUUGAAAAGGCCUAUGAUUUCCUCAGUUGGAAUUAUAUUAAAGCUGUGCCUGUUAAAUUUGGUUUUAAUGAUCAUUGGAUCAAGCUUAUCAUGGAAUGUAUUACUUCGACAUCCUUCUGUAUCCUUAUGAGUGGUAAGUCUCAUGGUUAUUUUUGUCCUUCUAGAGCUAUUAGGCAAGGAGACCCUCUAUCUCCUUAUAUUUUUAUCCUUUGUAUGGAACCUUUGAUUAGACAUUUAGAUAAAAUUGGAGAAUCUUCUAAAGUAAUGUUGGCUUGUUGACUGCCCCUCGAGGUUUUAGAACUACAAAUAUGAUGUGUGCAGACAAUUGUCUAAUUUUUGCAAAACCACUAGUACUGCAGCCAAGAAUAUUGCUAAGAUGCUAGAUAAUUUCUCUCAUGCCUCAGGUCAAAAGAUAAAUUUUCAUAAGUCUUCUCUUUAUUUUUCAAAUAAUACGCUUAAACAUACCAAAAAUGAUAUUGUUAAUAUUCUAGUGAUCCAACAUAAAACCAUUAUUGGUAGGUACCUAGGCAUUCACAAUAUCAUUUUCUGGAAGGAUCAAGUUAAUGCAAAGGAGCUUAUAAUCAAGAUUAAAAAUAAACUUUCUGGUUGGAAGGCAAAUACCCUUUCUAAAGCUGGAAGGCUAACUCUUAUAAAAGCUAAUUUAUUAGGUGUCCCCAACCAUAGGGCUGGUUUGGUAUUGCUGUGCUUUGAAAAAAAGCUGCUGUGAGAAUAAGCGGUUGUGCUGUGAGAAUAAACGACUGUGAAAUAAAUCAACAGAGUGUUUGGUAAACUUUUUUGUAAAAGUGCUUUUGGAAAAGAAAAAAAAAAGUCUGAUAGUGGGUCUUUUCAUUAAAGGAGCACUGUAGCUCCGUGUGCUUUGAAAAGAAGCCAGUUUUCCAAAGCUGCAAAUAGCAGCUUCAUCUUUUUCCUUUGAUUUCAGCUUAUUCUCACAGCAGCUUCCAAAAUAAGCCCUUUUUUUUCAGUUUACCAAACACCUAAAACCCUCACAGCUUUUUUUCAUGGGUGCUUUUUUUUUAAGCACCUCACUCCCAAACCACCCCUAUGUCUUGUUUUAACUGUCCUGAGAGAAAGUUACAAAUGCUAUUGAUAGGGAAAGCAGGAAUUUUCAUGGGGUAAAGAUUGAAAGCUUGUCCUUGUGGCUUGGAAUAAAUCGUGUAGUUCUAAGGAAAAGGAAAAUGGGGGAUUAGGUAUUAGGAAAAGUGUUCAUUUUAAAUCAAUAAGUGUUCAUUUUAAAUCAAUCUCUCCUCUUUAAUGACUGGCUAAAUGCUCUAGCUGUCAAGAGUGAUGAAGGUUUAUGUGAUCUUAGCAAAGCUUUACUAAUUUGCUGGCAAAUUUGGAAAGAGAAGAAUCUGGUUGUGUUCCAAAUUUGGAAGAGACUUCAUCAUUGCCAACAGCAUGGUUCCUGAAGGUUGUCAUGGUAUGAGGUCUCCACCGCCCUCCUCUAUCCGGUUGUCCCCUCCAAAUCCUGGUUUUUGUUAAACUUAAUUUGAUGGCUCGGUGGUGAAUCAGGUGCUGCUGCUGGAUUUAUGAUUAGCAAUGAGAAAGGGAAGCCUAUUAUUGUGGGAGCUAGAUUUAUUGGUCAGAAUACUAUCUCUAUUGCGGAAUGUCUAGCUUUACGGGAUAGUUUGUGGAUGGCAAGGUCUAAGGUUUUGUCUCGUAUUGUGGUGGAUGGUGAUUUGAAGCUGGUGAUUGAGGCCAUCCAUGGAGCUUAUAACCCCCCUUGGAGAUGAGAAGUUAUCGGUAAUAGCCAAAAUUUAACACCUAAUUUCAUAAAUGUCACUUUUUCUAAAAUCUUUCAAAAAUAACAUAAAACCCACUUAAAUAGACUUAAAUACCCUCAAAAUUAAAACCAAAUAAAAUAAGGAUGUAGUUGGUAAUGUAAUGAAAAAAAAUCUGAAUUGUGGCCUCUUCUAACUACAUAGUUUUUCAAUGAGGAAAAAUAGUCAAUGGCAGACAAAUUGGGAUCUGAGGUUAGCAAUCCUUCUUAGGGCUGGUUUGGUAUUGCUGUGCUUUGAAAAAAAACUGCUGUGAGAAUAAGCGGCUGUGCUGUGAGAAUAAGCGGCUGUGAAAUAAAUCAGCAGAGUGUUUGGUAAACUUUUUUGUAAAAGUGCUUUUGGAAAAAAAAGCAGUCUAAUAGUAGGUCUUUUCAUUAAAGAAGCACUGUAGCUCCGUGUGCUUUGAAAAAAAGCCAGUUUUCCAAAGCUGCAAAUAGCAGCUUCAGCUUUUUCCUUUGAUUUCAGCUUAUUCUCACAGCAGCUUCCAAAAUAAACCAUUUUUUUUCAGUUUACCAAACACCUAAAACCCUCACAGCUUUUUUUCAUGGGUGCUUUUUUUUUAAGCACCUCACUCCCAAACUAGGUCUUAUAUACGCAUUUGAUAAGGAAGAUAACUUUUGGCAGCUGUACGGUGUUUUUCUACGUACCCAAUGCAGAUGAUUGCCCUAGUCUGCUUCUAGCUAGUGAGGUAGAUUAAUUUACAGAACAUAAAUAUUCAUUGUUUCAAAAUUUUCUUGUAAAAAAUUUGGAUAAUUUAUUCAUGCUUAUCUUUACUUCUGCUCCAUAUAUGUUAUAGGUGGAGCUUUCAGAACUGCAGGAUCCCAAUCUUGCUUCAACUAUGAGAGAACAGCAACAUCGAGCCUUAAUUUUGGGAAAAAAUUGGGUAUUAAUCAGCCUGUAUAUCUUGUUAUCAUUAUGCAGAAAAAAAUUGAUUACCAUAUGUUUUAACUCAUUUGUGCACUGAGUAUGGCACAAACAAACUAGAAUUGAUGCGCUUGUUCAAGAUGCAAAUAUACUAAUGGAGCAAAUGGAGAAACAACAAUUCAUUCCAGGCAUCAGGAAUGUCAGGAAUACACUAUGAUUGCAAUCAUGCAUCCCAACUUUCUUGAAUUUCUUCUAUAUAUGGAUGUCGAUUUUGAAGGUAUUUAGGUCUAUUCAUGUGAGUUUUCUGUUAUAUUUGAAAGUUUUUAUAAAAAGUAACAUUUAUGAAAUUUGGUGUUAAAUUUUGGCUAUUAAUGAUAAUUACUCCUUGGAGAUUGAAGUCCAUCUUGGAGGAAAUUCGCUGGCUUGCUGGUUUUCUUUUAGGACAUUUGUUGGAAACAUGUCUUUAGGGAAGCCAAGUUUCUGGCAGAUGCUAUAACUAGUAUCGGUUACUCUCUGUUGUUGAUUUUCAUGUAUGGGAUAGAACUCUUCCUUUGGUUACUUGUCAAGCCUUCUUGUUUGAUUGUACCCAAAC
rnacentral:lncRNA from 1 species